rnacentral:tRNA from 1 species
GCCUUUGUACCCCAAUUGGUAGAGGGACUGCGCUUAGAACGCAGAAAGUGAGAGUUCGAAUCUCUCUGAGGGCA